rnacentral:rRNA from 1 species
AGUGAACGCUGGCGGCAUGGCUAAGACAUGCAAGUCGAACGGGAUCUACUGAAGGGUAACCGGAUGUAGUGAGAGUGGCGAACGGGUGCGUAACACGUGAACAAUCUACCUUAAAGUUGGGGAUAGCUCGAGGAAACUCGAAUUAAUACCGAAUGUGGUUCCUUCUCGCAUGGGAAGGAUACUAAAGCUUGUAACGGCGCUUUAAGAGGGGUUCGCGGCCUAUCAGCUUGUUGGUGAGGUAACGGCUCACCAAGGCCAAGACGGGUAGCUGGUCUGAGAGGAUGAUCAGCCACACUGGAACUGAGACACGGACCAGACUCCUACGGGAGGCAGCAGUAAGGAAUAUUGGUCAAUGGAGGGAACUCUGAACCAGCCAUGCCGCGUGCAGGAAGACAGCCCUCUGGGUCGUAAACUGCUUUUAUUCGGGAAUAAACCUUUCUACGUGUAGGAAGCUGAAUGUACCGAAGGAAUAAGGAUCGGCUAACUCCGUGCCAGCAGCCGCGGU